GGAGAUGUAACUCAGUGAUUGAGUGCUUGCCUAGAAUACAAGAAAGCCCUGAGUUCAAUCUCCAGCAAUGCCA
rnacentral:tRNA from 1 species